rnacentral:lncRNA from 1 species
UAAUUUUCCAUCUUUAGUAUCCUUAGAAAGGAUUAAAAUGCAAUUUUAACAUUGAUGUUAUGUGAAGAUUUAAUGCGUUAAGUGUAAUAUUUGGUAUAAUUAAGUGAAGUGAUAUUGGAAAGGAGCUAAAAGUGCAAAAUUUUCAAUAAAUAAUUUUGGGGCUUUUCAAGAGUUUUAUAAUGAGAAUUGUAGAAUUUAUUUUAUUUAUGAAAAGAUGGGAAAAUGGAUGGCCAUAUAUUUGAAGUUUUUAAUUCAUGGAAAUUGCGAGGCAUUCAUUUAAAUUUUGGUUUUCACUUUGAC